rnacentral:rRNA from 1 species
UACGUAGGGGGCAAGCGUUGUCCGGAUUUAUUGGGCGUAAAGAGCUCGUAGGCGGUUUAGUAAGUCGGCGGUGAAAGCCUGGACUCAACUCCAGGAUGCCCGCCGAUACUGCUAUGACUUGAGUUUGGUAGGGGAGUGUGGAACUCCUGGUGUAGCGGUGAAAUGCGCAGAUAUCAGGAAGAACACCGGUGGCGAAGGCGGCACUCUGGGCCAAUACUGACGCUGAGGAGCGAAAGCUAGGGGAGCAAACAGG